rnacentral:misc_RNA from 1 species
GUACUCUCACACACUCCAAUUCAGGUUGGAGAGUGGUGGACUUGGGUGUUGCUGCUUCAUUGUGGCUCACCUCAAAAAUGUUAGUGUAACUCUUGGUUAGACAUUGUACGGCAUGAUAAGUGUCUUUGCCGGCACCUCACAAGAGGGGGUGGCUGACCGGGUGCUCUGCACUUCAAAGUGUCUCUAGACAAUCUCUGACA